rnacentral:rRNA from 1 species
UACGGAGGGAGCGAGCGUUGUUCGGAAUUACUGGGCGUAAAGGGUGCGCAGGCGGCUUGGCAAGUCGGAAGUGAAAUCCCAGGGCUUAACCCUGGAAUUGCUUUCGAAACUGCCAAGCUAGAGUCUCGGAGAGGUUAGCGGAAUUCCUAAUGUAGAGGUGAAAUUCGUAGAUAUUAGGAGGAACACCUGCGGCGAAGGCGGGUUGCUGGGCUGACACUGACGCUGAACUGCGAAAGCUAGGGGGAGCGAACGGG